UUCUGUUGUGAGAAACUCUGUCCAGGCCCUAGUUGAAAUUUCUUUGCUGUCUUUGUUCUUUCUUGCUGAAAGUAAUUGUGAGCAUUAUGCAACCUGGUUGAGUGGCCAUCAAAAGUCCCCUGUCAACUAGGUCACCUGCAUCAGGCAAAGAGUUUUUGCUUUUCCUUUCAGCCGCCUGAUGCCUGCAGGUUUCUUUUAUUCCUCAUAGCUGAAGCCCUCGAUACCCGAGGCCCUCUGUAGGGAAGUGAUUCACAGAUGGAGGUGCUGAGGGUUCAGUCUGUGUGAUGACGUCAUAGUCACUGGUGUGUGACAUUUAUGUACCUGGUUAUAAAAUAACUGAAAUAGAAAAAAACCCACACCAGCCAGUUGCUGGUCAGCUUCGCUUAGCGCAAAGACUGGAAACAUGCAGGAACAUGGAGGUUAGCCUGGCUCGGUCCAGAGCCCGUUCUGAUCCUGAUUCAGCAGUCCGCUGAUACUGGAGUCGAAAUAUGAAAGCUGCUCGGAGCAAAGCUUGUACUGUGUGUUUUCGGUUAUCUGUUAAAGGACACAUCCAGGAUCUUCUCGGGGGCUCAGAGUAGCCAGAGCGCAGCUUUUUAUCCCACCCGACAGACAUUUCAGUAAAGAAGCAGCUGUGGUCUCCGAUUGGCUGACUUCAUCUGUUCUUUGCUCCAGCCGUCGCGGGGACACGUCACAUGUCGUGUCCGCUCAGUGUGUGUGUGACUGUGUGUGUGUGUGUCAACAGACUCUCAGUGUUUAACCCUCAGUGUUAGUGGCAGCCUGUCUGCGUGUGUGUGUGUGUGUGUGUGUGCCCUCCGGAUCUGUGAGGUUUCGUAACAGCAGCACACCAACAACAUAUGAUAAGAACACUGAUGCUGUGUUCAGGUCACGUGGGACAAAAGUGUUGGGGAAAGCUGUCACACACGAGAAAGUCAAGUCUGUAAUUCUGCUGCUGAGUUGAAUUUACAUAAUGGUUAAUAGUUAUUAUUGAGCGACAGCUGUUUGAGUUUGUCAUGCACAUGUAAGAGUCAAAAAAAUUGUUUUUGACAUUUUAAUUCAAAUUAUGCGUUUAUAUGUCAAACACUUCUGAAGCUCUUCUUCAUUGCAAGACGCAUUAUUUCCUGUAUCAUUUAAU